CCUAAACUUAGAUAUUUUAAAUACAAAAUUAUCCGCCAGAAAACUACGAGCAAAACGCUUAAAACUCCAAGGACUUGGCGGUACCUCAAACCCACCUAGAGGAGCCUGUUCUAUAAUCGAUAAUCCACGAUAAACCUCACCAUCCUUUGCCAACUCAGCCUAUAUACCACCGUCACAGCCUACCUUAUGAAAGUCAAAAAGUAAGCUCAAUAGCUAUUACAGCUAAAAAGUCAGGUCAAGGUGUAGCCAAUUAAGAUGGAAGAAAUGGGCUACAUUUUCUAUAAUAGAAAUCAAACCACGGAACAGAACUGUGAAACACAGUCUAGAUUAAAGAAGGAUUUAGCAGUAAAUUGAGAACAGAGAGCCCAAUUUAAAGCGGACCUGAGGUGCGC
rnacentral:rRNA from 2 species